GUUGUGGUGGUGUAAUGGUUAGCAUUUCUGCCUAGCAAACAAGACGACCUGGGUUCAAGUCCCAGCCACAGCA
rnacentral:tRNA from 1 species